AUUCUCGCGCCACUGAUUUCUAACGUGCGAUCCUACCGACAUCGAUGAAACAUUUUUCAGUGACUUCGUUUAUGCAAAAUAUGAGAAACAAUACCCCAUCACAAAGCGAAUUUCUUAAUAAAAUGAGAGUGUUUAAGAAACGUUACUGUUGCGCACUUUGGAAGUUGAAUUUACGAACGCUUUUACCAAACGGUGCAACUAACAUUAUCUAGUGACACAAGACUAGCUCUAGGGAAAUUGAUGACACGCUGAAGUCCAAAUUCCCAUUCUUCUUCUGUGCCCCACUUAAACACCGGACAAAGGAAUUCAUUGGCUACCCUGCAAAAUUGAAGAAGACAACUGUUUGAUGAUCAACACAAGGUUCAUAUCCAGCACGACAAAGGAAGUUCUUUGCCAUUCCUCUCAUGUGAGUCUUCCAGGAUGGUUCAUUUGGUUCUUCAGUUUCCUUUAGUUCCUCAUAUAGAGUUUUCAACAAGACCCCUCUAUACGUCUACCUACAUGAUCAAUCAUCAUAAAGACUGGCUCCCAAACCACAUGACUUCUCUCUUCAUUUAAGAACAGAGUCA